AUACGUCUUCGGGGCGGGGUGCGAUUCCCCACCGGCGGUAAGACCGGCAACGGUCGAGCCCGCGAGCGCUUUCCGAUAAGGAUUGGCAUUAGUAACCGUCGCGAGCAAGCUCAAUAUCGGCUUGAGUAGCGCAACUGUACGAAGGUACAGUGAGCAACGCAAAGUCGAGAGUGGGCUGCGCAGCAGGUUAAUAAGCCAAUCCGAGGAAAGGUCAGCAGAUCUGGUGUGACUCCAGAGCCGACGGUAUAGUCCGGAUGAAAGAAGAUGUGC
rnacentral:ncRNA from 2 species